rnacentral:rRNA from 1 species
GCCAAACGAGGGCUUAACUGUCUCCCCUUUCAAGUCAGUGAAAUUGAUCUGCCCGUGCAGAAGCGGACAUAAUAAUACAAGACGAGAAGACCCUAUGGAGCUUAAGGCAUAAAACUCAUUCACGCCUAAAACUCCGCAAAAGUUAACAAGCCCAGUGAUAAAUGAGACCAUGCCUUCGGUUGGGGCGACCAUGGAGGAAAAUAAAGCCUCAAAGAAGAAUGGGGUUAAACCCUUAAACCAAGAGACACAUCUCUAAGCUUCAGAACAUCUGACCAUAAAUGAUCCGGCCAACCAAGACCGAUCAACGAACCAAGUUACCCUAGGGAUAACAGCGCAAUCCUCUCUGAGAGUUCGUAUCGACGAGGGGGUUUACGACCUCGAUGUUGGAUCAGGACAUCCUAAUGGUGCAGCAGCUAUUAA